AGUGAACGCUGGCGGUAGGCCUAACACAUGCAAGUCGAACGGCAGCAGAGUACUAGCUUGCGCUUACGGGGGGCGAGGGGCGGGCGGGGGCGAAGUACAUCGGAGGCUGCGGUUGCGAAGGGGCGAACGUGGGGGAAAAUACGCUAAUAGCGCAUAGGACCUACGGGGGGAAGCAGGGGACCUUCGGACCUCGCGCGAGUGUAGGAGGCGAUGUCGGAUUAGCGAGUUGGCGGGGUAAAGGCCCACCAAGGCGACGAUCCGUAGCUGGUCUGAGAGGAUGAUCAGUCACACUGGAACUGAGACACGGUCCAGACUCCUACGGGAGGCAGCAGUGGGGAAUAUUGGACAAUGGGCGCAAGCCUGAUCCAGCCAUACCGCGUGGGUGAAGAAGGCCUUCGGGUUGUAAAGCCCUUUUGUUGGGAAAGAAAGGCAGCAGGUUAAUACCCCGCUGUUCUGACGUUACCCACAGAAUAAGCACCGGCUAACUUCGUG
rnacentral:rRNA from 1 species